rnacentral:rRNA from 1 species
CCUACGAGGUGCAGCAGUGAGGAAUAUUGGUCAAUGGGCGAGAGCCUGAACCAGCCAAGUCGCGUGAAGGAUGAAGGAUCUAUGGUUUGUAAACUUCUUUUAUAUGGGAAUAAAGUGAGGAACGUGUUCCUUUUUGUAUGUACCAUAUGAAUAAGCAUAGGCUAACUCCGUGCCAGCAGCCGCGGUAAUACGGAGGAUGCGAGCGUUAUCCGGAUUUAUUGGGUUUAAAGGGUGCGUAGGCGGAACAUUAAGUCAGCGGUAAAAUCGAGGGGCUCAACCCCUUUAAGCCGUUGAAACUGGUGAUCUUGAGUGGGCGAGAAGUAUGCGGAAUGCGUGGUGUAGCGGUGAAAUGCAUAGAUAUCACGCAGAACUCCGAUUGCGAAGGCAGCAUACCGGCGCCCGACUGACGCUGAGGCACGAAAGCGUGGGGAUCGAACAGGAUUAGAUACCCGAGUAGUC